rnacentral:tRNA from 1 species
UAGCCUAGUGGUUAAGGCAACGGAUCGCCAAUCCGGAGACGGCGGGUUCGAUUCCCGU